GACGUAGGGCGCGAGCGUUGUCCGGAUUUAUUGGGCGUAAAGGGCUCGUAGGCGGUUCGUCACGUCGGGAGUGAAACUCGGGCUUAACCCCGAGCCUGCUUCCGAUACGGGCAGACUAGAGGUAGGCAGGGGAGAGCGGAACUCCUGGUGUAGCGGUGGAAUGCGCAGAUAUCAGGAAGAACACCGGUGGCGAAGGCGGCUCUCUGGGCCUUACCUGACGCUGAGGAGCGAAAGCGUGGGUAGCGAACAGG
rnacentral:rRNA from 1 species